CGCUACUGUAAGGAAGGCAGCAGAAACGAGGGGACAAAAACUAUUAUUUUCACCAAAAGGCUUUUGCAGGAAAGAGGACGGGGAGCUGAGUGAGCAGAGGAGGAGGGAGAUAAUCUGACAGUGCGAGGCGGAGAAGAAGCGGAGCAGCGUAGCGGAGUAGCCGGGCUCGGAGUGAGUGAGUGAGGGGGGGACGUGGAGCCACUCAGAGCCGCAGAAAUUGGAGGAGCCGUGCUGACUUUCUCCCGCUUCAUUACCGCCUAAUGCCCUCGUAUCCAACCCGGAGCUGGUGUUCACACCGCGUGGGGGGAAACCGCCGAUUUCUGUGAGAUCUACGCUGAGGUGAAAGCUGCAAUCAAAUGUAAAGAAAACCUGGGGUGGAGACAACCAAACCGACUCCCAAGGGCGGAGACAAGGCGGACCACACAACGCAGGAGGCCUGGGGAAAUCAUUAACGGCGCACAGACACAUGCGGCAUGACUGCACGUGCUGGACAUCUUUAGUGGCUUUUUGCAUCGCAGCAGCCGUCCCUUGUCUGAGGUUUUCCAACAUUUAGCACCUCGUACCCUGAAGUACUUC